UCAUAAGCUAAUGAGCGACAGAGUGGUUUGUGAGAGAACAAAAUAAAAUAAUUGAGUUCAAACAGGCACCGAAAUAAGCCACAAAACGAAGAACAAGAAUGCAAAGAGAAAUAAAAACUCAUUCAUAAUUUAAAUUAAUUCAAAUCAAUAUUAAAGUGUUUUGUGUGUUUGACGAAAAAAGGAAAUUUUUGGUUCAAAAGAAACAAAUCUGUUUGACAAAGUUGGCAAAUCAAAGAACGUGUUGUUAUCGAUAUCCAAUAAGAAUACGUUUUAUGUUAUUGUGAAUGAUAUUUCUAAAUGAAAUGCAAGUGUCAAUCGUGUGUGUUGUUUUUCUUUACGGGAAAAAAGAAAGAUUAAUAUCACAAAUAUUGCAUGUGAAAUAAAUUGAAAUAAUCAAUAAAGUGAGCGAGUGCAUUUUUGCGGAAUUUAAUAGUUGCUUGCCGUUUAAUCCGCUGUGCGGUCUUAUCAGAAAUUGCCACUGCGUUUUUUUUUGUUUUGUUUGCGGCCGCAAGUGUGCAAAUUUUCCUAUUGAUAACCAAAGAAAAAAAAGAACAACAAAAAUCUGUCAAACAAUUUAAUUCCUUUGCGGCGAAGCCCAUUGACUGUAACAAAGGUGUUCUGUAUAUUUGUUUCCUGGUGAAACCUAUGCAAGAUUCCCCAAAAGAUUUUCACAAGAAUUGAGAGUGGUGUGGCUACGAAAAGAAAGAUAAAGCAGCAAUAACCUAAAAACCAAAAACAGAGGAAAAAAAUAAAACCAGAAAAAAAGGAAAUCGAAAAGCAAUGAUUUUGAGAAAAUAAAAGCAGGCUAAGCCAGCAGGAAGCGUACGAGUGAAAUAAAUACUAGAGUGGCAGAGAAAAAAGUAGACGAACAGAGAACAAGGAAAAGGAAGCUACUAAAAUCCUCCAUCCACCAAAAAACAAACUCCCCGAAAACGAAGUUAUUGCAAAAUAAAAAAAACGGAACGUGCUUCUCUGGCUUGGUGCAUUACCGAGUUUAGAAAAAAAAAACA